AGCAGCCGCGGUAAUUCCAGCUCCAAUAGCGUAUAUUAAAGUUGUUGCAGUUAAAAAGCUCGUAGUUGAAUUUCGAGAUCAGUACGCUGGUCGUGCCUUCGGUAUGUACUGGUGUCACUGGUUUCUCCCUUCUGAAGAACCGUUAUGUCAUUAAGUUGGUGUGGCGGGGAAUCAGGACUGUUACUUUGAAAAAAUUAGAGUGUUUAAAGCAGGCUCGCGCUUGAAUACAUUAGCAUGGAAUAAUGAAAUAGGACGUUUGACCCUAUUUUGUUGGUUUCUAGGAUCGACGUAAUGAUUAAUAGGGAUAGUUGGGGGCAUUAGUAUUCAAUUGUCAGAGGUGAAAUUCUUGGAUUUAUUGAAGACUAACUACUGCGAAAGCAUUUGCCAAGGAUGUUUUCAUUAAUCAAGAACGAAAGUUAGGGGAUCGAAGACGAUCAGAUACCGUCGUAGUCUUAACCAUAAACUAUAGCCGACUAGGGAUCGGAUGAUGUUAAUUUUUAAUGACUCAUUCGGCGCCUUA
rnacentral:rRNA from 1 species